UUCUGCAUUCCGAUUAGCCAAAAACGUCCUAAGGGUUUCUUCAAGCUGGUUUUUCAUAAUUUUUGCACCAAUGUUAAGGGCUCGGAGGUCGGAUUUGGUCGGAGACGCAUCACACUAUCAACCUCAAAUUCUCGGUAUAUAAAGAAACUUUAUUUUAGAAAUCAAUGGCAUGUAUAAGUUAGUAAAGUAGAUGUUAAUGUGAAAUGAAUGUAUGGUUAGCCAUUGGUAUGGCUAACAAAUUUUGGUUUUGGCAUGUGAUGAGAUUAUCUUAAGAAUACAAUAAAUCUAUCUUGAAAAUA